rnacentral:rRNA from 1 species
UCUGGAGGACAGGUGCUGCAUGGCUGUCGUCAGCCCGUGUCGUGAGAUGUUGGGUUAAGUCCCGCAACGAGCGCAACCCUUGCCUUUAGUUGCCAGCAGUUCGGCUGGGCACUCUAAAGGGACUGCCGGUGUUAAACCGGAGGAAGGUGGGGAUGACGUCAAGUCCUCAUGGCCUUUAUGACCAGGGCUACACACGUACUACAAUGGCCGAUACAAAGGGCAGCGACACUGCGAGGUGAAGCCAAUCCCGUAAAAUCGGUCUCAGUCCGGAUUGGAGUCUGCAACUCGACUCCAUGAAGUUGGAAUCGCUAGUAAUCGUGGAUCAGCAUGCCACGGUGAAUACGUUCCCGGGCCUU